UGUUUGUCUGAGAGUGCAUGUUUCAAAUGCUUAGCUGCCUAUAAAGCUGUUAACAGUUUAGCCUGUGGCCACUGAGGAAAGAAAAUAAGUUAGCCUCUAUAGUGACCAUGUGGAAGUCCUGACCUUGCUUGCAGACUUGACCUCUGGAUAUGACAAGGUAGCUUCAAUAUAAAUCUACCAUUUAAUGCUGGAAACUAGAAACAAAAAAAAUCUCAAAGCAAGAAAGAUGCAGAUUAUUUCUUGAGAAGUCAGAAGACCCCCAUAUAUUCUGAUGGGCCAAAGAAAACACGCUCAUGAAAUGAACUGCUGAAUCAGCAAACAGAGUGAAGACACAAAAAUGAGAUGGCUGCUGCUGAGGUGACUAGGUCACUACCUCUCUCUCUCUGCUGCAAAGGCUGAAUGACAUUAAAUGUACAGGAUCUAGAAGCAAACUACAAAAUAAGAAGCCCUCUCUGAAGAGUAUGAAGAAAUACUGGGCUAAUCUACCCACUCCUACAAUAUACUUUAAAACUCCACUGAUGCUCUUGGAAAAAGAACCAAGCCAGAACAAAGUUCAACAGAAAUUGGCCAAUGUUUAGACGUGUCUGUCUACCAAGAACAAGGGACUAUAAGUGGCGAUUAAUGUCAGGUAAAUGUUUGAAAAAUUAAGACUUUGAUAGUCUCUGCUAAUGAUCUAUCAAUGCCAUAUUAAGCUAAAUGUUCUACUAACAAAUGGGUAAAUAAAACAUUCAUGUUUUUACAGCUGAACAAGUUAGUUGUAGCCUACUCAGAGUACAUACUUCUUUAUGUACCCAUAUGAACAUACAGUGCUAUGGAAUGUAAAGAAGUAUGUAUUUUUGGUAGGCAACAGACCACCAAGAGGGAACUGCAGCUAAAAAAAGUCCUUGCUUCUUUCUAUGCAAAUGACCUUUGUAUGGUGAACUGACCUAUCAAAGAGAACAUCUCUGACAUACUAGCACCAUAAAAAUAUACCUUAGUACUUAAAGUUGGAAAGAAACUAAAUAUUGCUAAGAUUUAUAACUUGUGAUUAGAAAGUUGUACUUAACAAAAUUUUUAAUUACCAUCAAACUCCUUUUAAAUCGAUUAAGCUUUAAGCAUACUAUAGUCUACACUUUCAAAUUAAAUACUCACAUGAUAAAAACUGUACAAGAGAAACAAUAUUACCAAAACAAAAUAAUGAGGAAUACAUAUAACCCACUUCUUGUCUCCACAAUUAAUCUUUAGGUAUAUUACAUUAGUUGUUCCAACUAAUAAAGAUAAGAUAUAACAAAAUCUGACUUGGUACUGACUGGCUAUCUUCAUAUUCUGAUAAAUUUACAUUAAUAUUAUAAGAAUUUCUGAAGCUUUUUCUUACAGUGGAAGAUAUUGAUAUCAUCAUAAUUCUAAAACACUAUCCUUAAGUAAAAUUCUGCUGUCAAAAAGUAGUCUAUAUGUCAUAUUUCAAUUUUGCCAAGGCUUCAACCUGGCCUCCAUAUUAAAUGCUAACUUAGUAUUAAGAAUAAAUUAAAACAUAAGAUUCAUGCAUGAAAAGGAGCAAAUUUCUGGAUUAUGCUGUCAGUCAACAGGGCACACUGAUAACAAACAGCUUAAUAUUUUGAAGAAAUUAAUUUAUCAGUUAUAUUGUCCUUCAAUGUGCUUUCUCCAAAGGUGACACAUAAAAUGAAAGCAUUAUAGACAAGAAACUAAUUCAAACAGAUAAGAAUAACCAACUUUUAUUGAUACUAUGUAAUUAAAGUUUUAUACAAACAUGAUGAACCUAAUAUUCAUGGUAUAUUAGCUAUUUAAUACUGUUUGUAUUUUAAAUAACAUUUAUUUUAUAUAAUAAAUUCUAACAAGAACUAUAAAGGUCUUAGUAGCAAUAUUAAUGAGAAAUACCUAAUUUAACUCUCUAUGAUAAACUUUGAAAAAGAAUCUUCAUAUCAAUAUAUUCCAACAAUUUAAUAGAAGUUUUAUGCCACUGAAAUAUUCAGACAUGUAUAAAAAGUGUAAUGGUUUUUGUCACAGUUGAAUAGAAAUGAUUAUAGUUUAACUGUGCGUAAUCUCUCUUUACUAAAGACAGCUAGAUAAUUGUCAAAAUGACUUUUAUUUCAUAAUCAUAUUAUAAAGAAUGAGAAUAUAGUUAUUCAACAUAGCAUAUUAAAGUUAUUGCAUGUUGGAAAUUAUAAAAAAUGUAUGAUCUAAAAACUUCACAUUUUCAAAGAAAAAAGUUCAAUACCUAACUUACUUAAGUAUAUAAAGUCAUUUUAUCUGAUCCUCUACCAUGUUUCAUAUUUUUUGUUAAACUUAUGCAUACAUGUCCUAGAUAACAAAAACUAAGAAUAUACAGUUCAAAAGUAGUUAGUAGUCUCACCAUAAAACUGCUC